GAACAGAUGCUGCCCAAGCCAAGAAUGUAAAUUUCUAUCUCUGGUACUAAGAUUGCAUUUUAAGUUUUUUUGGUCCGGGAAAAGCAUCUUCCCCUUUGUAGAGCCAAGGUAAAAAAGCACUUCCAAAUGUGACAAAAAAAAAAGUCUAAGAUAAAUUAUGCAUUAGCUUUCUAUGCAAAGUCUUUCAGGUGACAGAGAAGCAGAUGGUUUUUGAGUCAUGUGUACAUAUGUUUCUCAGCAGAGCUUCCUAUGAAAGUUUCUAGGCACAAAGAACAGUGAAAAGAUCAGAUAAAAUCCUUUCAAAGAAGAAGAGGAAAAGAUGCCAUUCUAGUGACAGCUUAAAAUACAUUAAUCAAAUACUGGAAAAGUUGUUCCAGCUUAUAUUUAAAGGUGAGUAGAAGUUUCCUGGACUGAGACACAAAUGAUUAUUGUGUCUUUUCCUUUUAGGUGAUCUUAAACAGGAUGUCACAGGGGGUCCCUGAGAAUAUGCUCAUAGAGUGACAGCAAAGGCCUUGAAAAUACAGGCACAGGAUGAUUUCAGAGGGAAAAGCACAAAUAUGAAUUAUCAAGGAUGGUCAGUGCAGGAUUGCAACCCUAGAGCUGGGCAGGGUUUGCUUCAGGGUGCAACAAAGAAGUUGUAAAAAAAGGGAACAAAGAACUUAAAUUGAACAGAUAAACAUCUCAUAUAUAGUGAAAAAAAUGAAAGAAUAAAAAAAAAGGAGGUAUAGAAAAAAAUAACCCUCUCCAGGACAGUGACUGCAGGAAGAGGAGGGUGAGAGGGUGUGCCCUGCACUGUGCCACCCCCUCACUCCAGUAGUAUUGUGCCUAGUCAAUACUUAUCCACAGCAGGUCCUCUCUCCCCUUCUGUGGAGAGGGAAUGCUGCUGUACUGAAACUAUCCAUCAAGUGUUAUCUUUUUGUUCAUGGGUUAAGUAAACCAGGAUUAUAAAGAGCUGUGCACACGUGCAUGUGUGGGUUUUCUACUCUAGCUUUCCAAAACAAAGUGGUAAAGACCACAGCACCUGAUCAGAUUAAAUGUGGACCAAAUCAAUUUUUAAAAAUUAAUUAAAAAUACAGAAUAUUUUCAAAUAAUUAAAAAUCUACAAAACCUCUAAGUAUUUAAAGGUUUAUAAAUGCUAUAAAGCUUCAGAUAAUGAAUAAAUAAUUCAUUACAAAUAAUUCAUAAAGGUGCAUUUCCUUGCUCAAGGAAUUCCUGAAAUGAAGCUUGGCAAAUGCAAAGAACCUAUGAAAAACAAAAAAAAAAAAAAAAAGAGGCAUUCAUUCCAGAAGGUUCUGAAUUUGACAAGUUUCUACCUUAGCAUGAGAAGAGAAUUAUUAUUCUGUCACUCCAUCUGAAUGAUACCAAGAUUCAGACGCCAGGCACAGCACCAGAGCACGAAGCUUUGCUGUACCCAGAGCUGCUCCUUGCUGCACCUGUUUACAAUCGAUUGCCUCAUUAUCAUUCACUCAGCAGGAGGGAACAGCUAAAUUCACAUCCAGAGAAAACUGAAAAUUCCUUGGCUGUAUUAAUGUCUCUUUCCUGUGCAGCCCUGCACACACCCUGAGUGCUGGGAGCUUUGUUGUCUGUGUGCUGCAUGGCAAAGAAUUGCACCACACAAGUCUCCAAGCUGGGGGGAUAGCAACUGGACAUGAUAGAGCACAGAAAUGAGAAGUUGUGCCCAUAUGAUGUGUUGGUAGUUUGUGGUUUUUUUUUUUUUCCAAGGUUUUUUUCUCCCCAAGAUGGAUACAUCUGAAAAAGAGCAAGGAUAGAAUAAUAUAUGGAGAGGAAGGAAGCAGGAAAAAUCAAUAUGUUUUUUACAAGUUUCCCUAAAUCACAGUAAACUACCAUCACUAUUUUAAUCCCUGCAGCCAGGUGGGCUCUGUGCUGCAGUGCAGAGAUCCAGAGUUUGGACUUCACACCAUGGCUUUCUGCUUCCUGGGCUGGCAAGGGUGAGAGACCCAGUCUUGCUGGGCAUGCAAGGUCAGACUGGGGGGGGGCUCGGAACAACCUGGUCUAGAUGAAGAUGUCCCUGCUCAUUGCAGAGGGUUGGAUGAAAUUAUCCUUAAAUGUCUCUUCCACCCCAACUGUCCUAUGAGUUUAUGAUUCACAGCUGCCAGGAGGGUUCCAGGCAACCCUCCAGGCACUCCCCAAAUUGACCUGGGGUGUAGCUUUUAGAGGUAGACUCCUAAACCCUUGGAAAUACAGUUUUUACAACUCGAGCAUCAUAACACCGAAACUGCUGUAGAGUUUUGUUUCAUUUCAUUGGUACUUAUGUUCCCCCUCAAAUAUUUGCAAUCCCUUAUCUCUGCUUGGAUUUACUUCUCUUUUUCUUUUCCUGUACACUGCUGAAAGUUAAAUUUAUUUGCACAUAGGGAGAGCUCAGUAAAUAGUUAAAUAUAUUCACCCUAAAGAGCCACAUGUAAGAAUCACACAUGCAGAAACUGGUAAUUGUCACAUGGAAAUAGCUGACCAACCACAAGUCCCAAAAUAGCAAAUACCUACUGAAACAGUUGUACCACUGGAAUAUGUUUGCAUAAAUUAUUCACAGAAUAAUUCUGAAUAUUGAAUGUGUAGAAUGUUAAGGCAGUCUGGUAAGGUCCACACAGCUGCAUUUUUCUUUUUUGUACAGAUUUUUAUCACGUCAUGAUAAGAUCAGUCCUGUGGUCUGCUCAUUUCUCUCCCUCCUCAAAGUCUUGCAGACAAAAGGUGUAACUGCAUGGCCCUGUCCCACAGCAUCCCUUGUAAGUCAGAGUCUGACCAAGUCUGAACACCACGAGCACCAAGGUUAAUAGGAGCAAAGUGGUUAAAUCAGGAUUUCUUCAUUAGGAAAACUGCCUGAUAUUAGGAGAGUCUAUUUUUUUGAUGCUGAAAAUUCUUACAAAAAUGAACUCUGAGAAUUGACUUGUUUUAUUUGCUCUCUUUGGACUCUGUUAUCCUUUUGGGUGCCUGGAUCCUAUGCUAACCAGUCUGUAUCAAUGUGUCACUUGCCCAAAAACUGCUCAUGUCUGUAAGGUGAGGUAAAGUACCAAAGGUCCUUUAAGAGGCAGUUUGACACCACUAGUUAUUUCCUAUGAUUGAUUCAGCACAAUGCAAAGGAACAAUUUAAGUUCUUUCCUAGACUGAAGGUACACAAGAAAAAUAAAUACUCCUUUCUUAAAAUUCAUGGUAGAUGAAGUUGAAGAACCUCUUCGUUCAUUGUGACCAGGAAUUUAAGUCUAUUCUGACAAGUGCAUUAAUUUAAGUCAAUGCAUCUUGGGUAGAAGAGGUAUGAAUCAACUAAAAAAAUUUUAAAAAUAUAUAGGGGAAAAAAAAUCUUAUACCACUUUUCCUCUACUGAUUCUCCAGCAGCAAGUAAAGAAUAGUAAGUGUUCUUCACACUGUUGUAAAUUUUCAUAUUAAUGGUGUUCCCUGAAGUACUUGCAUACCAUGAAAUGAAAAGAAACAAUGCAGGUUUGUGCCAAAAAAUUAACAUCUGACAGGUAGAAGAUGACAACCACAGAAGGAAAAGGUGGCAAAAAGCAGAGGUCAAGUGAAUAAAGGAGCCAACACAUUCUGAGGUGUUUCAGAGGCAGAAACUCUGUAUCAGUUAAGCUCCAAGAUUAGCUUGUGGCCACAUGCAAUCCUUAUUUUCACCUCUGAACUCUGUCCAGUGUCUCAGAAUACCUCUUCAUGGUACAAUAUCAGACCACACAGAGACCCUGAAUGAACUUGCUGAAAGUACUAAAGUAACUAAAGCCCUUCUGAGAAGUGUAUUAAGAACAUCACUUGAUCCUGGCUAGUCUGUGUCUAGUCCUGAGAGGAUGAUUGAAUAUAAAUCUCUCAAGCUCUAGUGAAAAUGUAGCCUUGGCUUCUCGUGUGCCAUCUGCAAUGUACAGUAUUUUUCCAUCUAGACAAAUUCUUAAUUGCCAUGACCGAUGCUGAAUUUUUCUAGUGUAUGGCUCAUUUACAGACCUAGUGAUGAAGGUAUUAUUUCAAUUAUCAUGGGAAAAGAAAUAUAAAUAAGAAUAAAAUCCCUUAAAGAGUCGGUUGGUGGAUUCACAGAAGUCAAUAAUAAAAUUUACCACUGAUCUGAACAUUACGAGAAGUUCAUCUUUACAGCCAAAAAUAUCCUUUCAAACAAGAUGGAAAGGUCAAAUUUGCAUCUGGAACUAAGUAGCUCUACCUGAAGUAAAUUUAUGACUUCUGUAGCUAUAAGGUAUAAGAACUUCACAAUUGUUAGCACAUUUAUCAAGUAUAUGAAUCAUCCCAUCUCCAUUUUUCAGGUACAAAUUCAAAGGUCCCACAAAAACGCCAAGGUACUUAGCAUCUAACCUUAACCAAUUUCCAUGGAAAAUAAAUGGACACCAUACCUUCAAGAAUCUGACACAAAAUUAUUUCCCUCAGGUCUUAUAAGUAAUCAGCUGCAGAAGAGAAAACUGAAUCCAAUUUUCCAAUUCAAGGCUGGCAACCUAAUCUCUGGACAGGUUUCCUCUCCUGUGUGUUAAAAGAGCAGCCUGGAAAAGAAGCCACAUUCUGCCCCUUGGUUGAGUCUUUGACCUUGUCAUAACACAAAAGAUCCAUGGGACUUCUUGGGGCAAGCUAUGAGAAGAGGAUAGGCUAUAGAUAUAUAUUUCUAUAUGGAGUAAAUAUUUAUUGUAGGAUCUUAUUGCUCAGAGUCGCUGGCAUGGGUAUUCACUGCCACAAGAAAUAUCACUAAUUCACCUUGGGUGUUUGGUUUGGUUUUGGUGUUUUUGUUUGUUUGAAGUCUUUUUCCCUCCAUACAAGCGUUAGGGAUCUCGGGGAUCAUGGCCCUGCCAUAAACCACAGUGGUGACUCCUCAAGGUGAGGCAGAGCAAGCCUUCCACACUGGGAGCACUGCACAGCAGCAAUCCCACAUGCUUUGCCCUAUUGCUGCUAAGAAAAACUGCUGAGUACCCCACGGGAGAAGGGGCUGCAUCAGAGCAGCAGCCUUCUUGAGCAGACAAGAUCUGCAAACUCAGGGGUAGAUUUAUCAUAGCCUUUCUGGCAUAUCUGUGUUCUCAGAGCUUCAUGCUUUCCUCCCCAAGGGACCCAGAAGAAUUUUGUUCUAACCCACAACCAAGACAUGAGCAGGAAAACACAUUUCAAGGUGAUUGUUGAAAUGUUUUCUAGGCUUUCUGCCCCACUCUGUAGACUUACUUGGGAGAGUGAUGUAAAGCACAGAGACAGGAAGGGCUCCUGUAAUCCCUGGGAUUUACAUGCAAAAAUCCAAUCCUUGUCAGCUCUGCCUUCUUCCUCUCUAAAGAAAAUGUAUGAGCCUGGAUUUGUGGCUCUAGGAGUAAGUUCUUUAAAUUAGUAAAGCCUGAUUAUUCAAUGUGGGAAAGAAAUCUGUUCCUUGGUGAGUUUAGGACUAUUGAAUAAAUUCCGCAGUCAAACACAAUCCUUAAUCCUUAAUUUCCUGAUUCUCAGUGCAACAGCAGAUUAAAGUCUAAUUGGUUUAUUUUCAAUUUAAUUUAUUUCACAAAAUCAGAAAGAUUGUUUGACAAUGAGUUCAGAAAUUACUUAAAAAAGGGCUCGAUCCCAAGACCACCAAAAUCAAAAUUUCCAAUGAGUUUUGGAUCACUCGCUGCAUGACACAAAUUUUUUACAAAUAUCUAAACACAUUUUGUUGUACAGGCAGAGUCUAGAAAAGCUCCCUUCUCCCUCUACAAUUGCUGCCUUAAGUUCACCCAUUGUUUCUUAAAAAAUUUCAAAAGAUAUUUUAUUUGGAAGUAAUUUUAUCAGCAUGUUUGGUACAUAGUAUGCUUCUCCUAUCUCUCUGUUUCAAUUACUACCAAUAUUAUCAUUAAUAAAUCACAAUUAGUUGCUAUGGAGAUAAUUAAGUCUGCAAAUAAAAUAUUUGACUUAGCUUCUGAAGCAAAUAAA
ensembl:lncRNA